rnacentral:rRNA from 1 species
AUUGAACGCUGGCGGCAGGCCUAACACAUGCAAGUCGAGCGGAUGAAGGGAGCUUGCUCCUGGAUUCAGCGGCGGACGGGUGAGUAAUGCCUAGGAAUCUGCCUGGUAGUGGGGGAUAACGUCCGGAAACGGGCGCUAAUACCGCAUACGUCCUGAGGGAGAAAGUGGGGGAUCUUCGGACCUCACGCUAUCAGAUGAGCCUAGGUCGGAUUAGCUAGUUGGUGGGGUAAAGGCCUACCAAGGCGACGAUCCGUAACUGGUCUGAGAGGAUGAUCAGUCACACUGGAACUGAGACACGGUCCAGACUCCUGCGGGAGGCAGCAGUGGGGAAUAUUGGACAAUGGGCGAAAGCCUGAUCCAGCCAUGCCGCGUGUGUGAAGAAGGUCUUCGGAUUGUAAAACACUUUAAGUUGGGAGGAAGGGCAGUAAGUUAAUACCUUGCUGUUUUGACGUUACCAACAGAAUAAGCACCGGCUAACUUCGUG